CACCAACCAAAAGUCUCAUAUAUUACAGGAUCAGGCUAGGGAUGGGACUACUUAGGGAUUGCGGCUUCCAUAAAAACGUCGUCGUUACUGCUUCAGUAUCACUGGAGUUCAUCGUUGUCGAUACAAAGUGUCAACACGGUGAUGGAGAUAUUUUUCCAUUUAUCUUUAGAACCAAAAAAAUUAACCAGAAAAACAACAAUGGAGGGG
rnacentral:misc_RNA from 1 species